GGACGAACGCUGGCGGCGUGCCUAACACAUGCAAGUCGAACGGAAGUAAGGGCUCCGGUUUUUACUUUAGUGGCGAACGGGUGAGUAACGCGUGAGAAACCUGCCUUUCAGUGGGGGACAACAGUUGGAAACGACUGCUAAUACCGCAUAAUGUACACGGACCGCAUGAUCUGUGUACCAAAGCUUUAUGUGCUGAAAGAUGGUCUCGCGUCUGAUUAGCUAGAUGGCGGGGUAACGGCCCACCAUGGCGACGAUCAGUAGCCGGUCUGAGAGGAUGAACGGCCACAUUGGGACUGAGAUACGGCCCAGACUCCUACGGGAGGCAGCAGUGGGGAAUAUUGGGCAAUGGGGGAAAUCCUGACCCAGCAACGCCGCGUGAAGGAAGAAGGCCCUCGGGUUGUAAACUUCUUUUAGCAGGGACGAAGGACGUGACGGUACCUGCAGAAAAAGCAACGGCUAACUACGUG
rnacentral:rRNA from 1 species